UUUAACAUUGCUGCAACAAGACAUCUCAUGUACGUAUGUGGCUAAAUAUUAAGAAGAGUCGUGCGGCCCUAUUUCCUAUUUUUUUGUGCUCUCACCCCUCACAAUGUUGGGUAGCUGGAGGGAAAGCGGGGUUUCGGGUGGAAAAAGCUAAAAUAGAGCCAAAUACCGCCUCUCACCACCAAAACUAAACAGGGAGCUGCACUACUGCUACUGCUGCUGGUGCUGCUCUAUUUCAUAUUUACCGGUUUAGUUAGGUUAGAUUAGGUAUAAUUAAGUUUAGUUAGAAUGGUAGCAGCAAGAGCAAGAACACAGCGGCCAUCACAACAACAUGAACAGCAACAGUAGUGCAGCUCCCUAUUUAUUUUUAGUGGUAAGAGGCGAUAAUUGGCUCUAUAUUACCUUUCCACACCCGAAAACCCCGCCUUCCCACCAGCUUCCCUUCACUGUAGGGGACACGAACCGAAAACCCCGCCUUCCCACCAGCUUCCCUUCACUGUAGGGGACACGAACCGAAAAAAAAAAAAAAAAAUAGGAGAGAGGGCUGCACGAUUCUUCUUAAUAUUUCCCCGUAAUGGUAUAUACACACAUGCAUGUGAGAAUAUGAUAAGAAUUGUCUGCUGUAUGGAUCAUGUACACCUUCAGAAACUGACAACGGAGUUUUAAUACAGACCAGAACAAAAAUUAUAUGUUUUGAUAUGAGAGAGUGAUAUGAUCAGUGCGUAUGAAGUUAACACAAAAUAUGAUGUAAUCUUGAAUAUGUACGGGUGCCUUUAAUUUAUUAGGAAAAAAAUAUAUAUAUACCAUUCAGGAGAAAAUUCGUUUGUUUUAUAAUUGGGUAUUGUGUCAUGAAUCACGAUGUCUUGAGUACCUGACGGGAGUCGUGGUUGUUCGUAUUCGCCCGGGUUUCGGGACGGUCCUGUGUAUUGCCAUGUUUUUCUUGUUUUAUGCAUUUUUGUAUGUAUAUUUGUAGAUCAUAUUAUGAAUAUUUAUUUUUGUGUGCCUUUUGCAUAUUACUUAGGUGAGGCUUAGUAUAUAAUUAUAGGGAAGUGAGGUGUUAUCAAGUGCGUUCUGGGUGGCCAGUGGUGACGUGACCAGGGCUGUGUCAACACCAGGGUGGUGUUGGUUGUGUGGGGUGCACCUGGGCCCUGUGUUGGCCUUUGAAGGUGUUGCUUGAGUCUCGCCUUCGCACUCCGAGGACACUUUGAAUUCAUGGUGCUUUAGGUGCUCGUGGUCUUCGUCAGCCUUCGUGACCGUCCAUGCUCGUAACGUCUUCUUGUGCUCCUUGUUCGGCGCCUUGAAACAGAGGAAGAGAGAAUAAGAGGCUAAUUUUGUCCUCUUUAGGCUACAUUAUACAAGUGACUGCAGUACAAACACAUCUAAAUAAUAUAUAGACAAAACCAUCCAGCAUUCAGUAGCCCCAUCGCGCUGGUCAGUAGAGGACCCGUGGCCACCAGACGCAGCGGAACCUUUCUGGGUCGUAACGUGAUGACCCGGGGGACGUAAAUAGCCAGACGACGCGAGGAGGAAAGUGCGGGAGACUGGAACGAAGCGACUGCAGUGUUUUGAAGGAUGAUGCCGCCGAAGUCCCGAGUGGCUUCGAGACAAGGAAGAGAAGCCACGCGACUCACUUGAGCCAGUCAGUCAGUGGUCAGUGGCGUCAGCUUCGUUGUGGUGUACGUGUGAGUCUUCUGUGUUUUCUUGGACGCUUAUUUGGGCUCUAGGUGAACCAAAACUCUCCCAAAGCUUGUCCACAGUGGUCAGCAGUGUUUGGUGAUGCCGCUUGACACUCAUCACUCGUACACUGACAGAAGCAGGAAACAAAUGCCAUUCAUGAAGAGCGAACACCGGAACGAGUCGUCAAAUUUGGAAGUCAGCGGGGACACCAGCCAGACAACAGAGGACGGGACAAUUUUUUCAGGCAACUGUUACGAACACACGGGAAUAAUCAAUGCAGCUAAGCAGAGCAUUACCCCUCAGCCUCGCUUUAUGUGAGAUUGUAACGAUCGCCACCACCACCACCACCACCACCACCACCACCACCACCUCCACCACCACCACCACCACCACCAUCACCAUCAAGAGGUGAAGUCCAAUCCCUUUUGGUGUUCCACGUGCCGAGCGAAUCCGGGGAGAAGGUGACUCAGGGCAUCUCGGCGCUGCUCUCCAUGACUGUCUUCCUCAUGACCAUCAGAGUCCCUGCCGCCCACUGAGAAGACACCGCUCGUCACCUGCAAAAAAUAAGAUUAAGUGGCACCUCCGAGGCUGCGACAAUGCAGCCGUCUGUUCUUCACGUCAGCUACACGCAUAGCAGCACACCAACGAGUCCCAUACAUUUUCAACUCCUCUGACGGCCUGGCGUCCCCGCUCGGCCCCUUCCACGACUCGCAGCGAGAGACGUCGAGGUGCGGUGGUCUUGUGGCGGAAGGCUGAAGGAGGCGGUGAAGGAGUGAAGUUAAGAGUUUGGUGUGAAGUGUGUGGCUUCCACUUCACCAUCCUAUGAACAGCCUGCAGGAAUCUCUAUCAGCACCUGCUUCUGCAAUAUUGGCAUCUGGUUAUCAAAUAGUGCUGUCACACUGGGCCUGACAUACUCCAUUGCAAUUGGGGAAUCAAGCUUCACCAGGAAGAGAGGCCGAGCAUCACAACCUUCAAGCCUUCAAGCCCUACAUGAGGUGUUAAGUAUUGUCAGGACAAAACAGAGGUCCUGGUACAAGAGUUUUCAUUGCAAUCAAGGAAGAGUCAAGUUGCAAUAAGAAGAGUGUGUCAAGAAUUUUAAGCAGGAGGAAGACUGUCAAGCAGUUGACGGCAGGAAGAACGCGUGAAAUUCCCUUAAGUCAUGGCAGGACCGACAGGCAACCUUCAUUCAACACCUGCAGAGGCACAAGAGUUGUGGGCAGUUUCACCAGGAAGAGUUUGCUCCUCACUCAAGUUGACACAAAGACACAAGAAUUUGCAAGUGUUGUUCCUCCAAGACCCUGCUGCAAAUGUUCUCCAAUCCACUCCAGUCUGGGAAGGAAGAAUGUAGGAAGUCCCUCUCUUCUGUACUCAACAAGCACCACCACCACCACCACCUUCAUUCAGGCUUGAGACAAGUUUUGUACAUUCCAGCACUUCAGUAAUAAAGAAAACAAGUGCCAUGUUUAUUA